GCCCCUGUGACCUCUCCUGGAGACUUGGCCCCUCGCUCGCCUUGGGCUCUCCCUGAGAACUGGUCCCUCGCUGCCCUGGUGGUUCCCUGAACUGGCCCCUCGCUUGGCCCCUGUGACCUCCCUGGCUGCCCCUCGCUGCCCUGGGUCUCCCGAGACUGGCCCCUCGCUGCCUGGGUCUCCGAGACUGACCCCUCACUGCCCCUUGUUCUCCCCGAGACUGGCCCUCGCUGCCUCUGUGGGUCUCCCCGAGACGUACCCCGUCACUUGGCCCUUGUGACCUCCUGAGACUGGCCUCUCGCUGCCCCUGGGUCUCCCGAGAACCGACUCAC